AUACGGAGGAUCCGAGCGUUAUCCGGAUUUAUUGGGUUUAAAGGGUGCGCAGGCGGCCAUUUAAGUCAGCGGUUAAAUCGUGGGGCUCAACCCCAUUCUGCCGUUGAUACUGGGUGGCUUGAUUGCGGUCGAGGUUGGCGGAAUUCGUUGUGUAGCGGUGAAAUGCAUAGAUAUGACGAAGAACACCGAUUGCGUAGGCAGCUGACCAGAUCGCAAAUGACGCUCAUGCGCGAAAGUGCGGGGAUCGAACAGGAUUAGAUACCCUGGUAGUCCGCACAGUAAACGAUGAAUACUUGUUUUCGGCGAUAUAAUGUCGGAGGCAAAGCGAAAGCGAUAAGUAUUCCACCUGGGGAGUACGCCGGCAACGGUGGAACUCAAAUGAAUUGGCGGGG
rnacentral:rRNA from 1 species